UCUCCCUCGAGCCAUCACCGCCCGGACCACGAUCUCUCCAUUCCGGUGUCCAGAUCGCACCAGGAGAGGUUCACCGUUGGCCGGCGUCCUAGGCCCUUAUUCCAGCAUCAGCACCCUCGCGUUCAUAUGCCUUUCCCCUCCCCUUAACCCUCUUGAUCGCCAACCACAAUCUCUACUUCAUGCUUAGUGGUGGAGGAGACUCAAACUUCAAACUCUGAUCUGUGAGGGAGUGUUAUACCAACUCUCCAAUGUGGAGAUGGCAGAGAAUGAAGUUGUAGGUUUGGAGCUUCAGAAGUAGCUAGAGGCUGUAGAUCAAGAACUGAAAUAAGUUCAAGAGUUGUUUAACCAAGCUGCUACCAACUGUCUCAACUUAAAGAAACAGACCUGAUCAAGUUAAACAUACCAAGCAACCACUUCUGCGAGUUUUAAGCAUGAGAUUUUGGUUGAGAGGAACCCAUCUGUGAUUCAAGAGAAGUAUCAUCGAAACAGUUUGCAAAUUAGAGAAGGUUUUCCCACCCAGCUUUUUAAAUUCAAUGGAGCAUCUAGUAAUCCACCUUCCUUACGAGGCUAAAGUUGGUGGACCGGUCCAAUAUCGUUGGAUGUAUGUGUUUGAAAGUUUCCUACAUCAAUUAAAGAAGAAAGUGAAAAACCCCAGCAUGUGUUGAAGGGUCUAUAUGUGAAGCAUAUAUCAUUAAAGACAUUGCAUCAUUUUGUGCCUUGUACUUCGAAGAGGAUGUCAAAACAAAAUUUACUUGACUGCCACGUAAUGAUGACGGAGGUGAAGUAGAUCCCAUGGGACGUCCUUUGAUUUUCAAACAUCAUGGAUGACCCUUGGGACUGAAAAAAAAUACUUGAUAUCUGACAACAAAUGAGUAUUUGGCUGCAGAAUUAUAUGUUCUGAUGAAUUGUGAAGAAAUGAUUCCAUACAUUGGGUGAGUAAUAUUUAUUUUUUUUAAUCCAUGCUGGAGAUGCAUCAUACUCGGCUUGUAGUCGUCCGAAUCAUGAAUGUGAACAAACUCCAGUUGAAGUUGACAAUUUACGUGAAGAAGUGACACUUGUGAAAGAUAGAAUAAUCAACUUAGAGGAUAAAGUAGAGAAGCAAGCGAGCGAUACAGUGGAUAUCAAGAAGUAUCUUGAACAAUGAUGGAUAUGUUUAAUCCUGUGCGUAUGUUUACAAAUGCUUCAAUAGGACUUUCUCAGCCUACCUCGCAGGAUAAAGACAAUGCUGGACCACCACUUUGAAUAUUAAACAGAUUGAUAUAUGCUAUAUAUAUGGUAUUGUUUCUUUUUUUUAUGUUUAGUACUUGUUAAGACUUGUUAAUUAUCAGUGAUGUAUGCACACUAAGUAUGG